GUUUUGCAGUCAAACCAGCUGCUACCAGACGAUGAGAUAAAGAGUUGAGCGCCGGCUGCCCACGGUGAUGCGGCGAGCAUGCGUGGAUCGCCCGGCUUGGAAUUUUCGCCUUAAAGGGCGCACCGUCGGUGUCAGUCAAGAAGCCAGAUUCGCCUCUGAAGUUUCUGUACGAUUUGAUUGUAGCGCACCGAAUUGUCAAGACAAUGGUGCCGUAAUUGAGAAGAGAAUGUUCGAUCUGCACGAUCAGUGGGAAAAUUGACAGAAACAGGAAGAGCACAAGAUGCCGACAGUCCCCGGGAAUCGUCGUUCACCACAACUAAUUGGGAGGCACGAAUACUGCGGAAGCUCCAAGCAUCGAUCUGUCACACAGCUCAGACAUGCGUGCGCUUCCCGCACUUACCACCAUUAUAAGCACGAACACUGACAAAAUUGGAUUACUUAGUGGUUGAGGGCACAAGUUGUCUUGUUAGCCACAGUUUAUUGUCCCAUAGGAAUAGGAUAUAUAUUCUCUGGAUCUACCUUACCUACAUAUACUGUAGAAGUAGUACAUAUAUUAUGACCCUAACUGCCCCAUUAGUUAAUUCCAUAAUUAUCGUCCCCGAUACCCUUCAGCUGACUAAGCAGUGACGCGAGAGAUCUACAAGGUACGGUACUCACCCUACUGACGUCGCCAGCACGAAGGUGAUCGCCGGUAUCAGGUUCGUCAUGGCCGUCGCCAUGGACGAUGACCCCAGGAAGAAAUGAUCAGUGAUGUAAACAAGACUGUUCGAUCGCUUCGGUGCUCAGCUCAGCACGUACGUGACCGUUCGCAAGACCGCGAGAAGGCAUAUAUGGACGUACCCGACGAGAGAGGCCAAGAACACCAGCACGAAGCCUGUCGUCCCGAUGCAAACAAUCUCCUUCAGCCUCUUCCUGGAGAAAAGACAAUUUAUUUACACAAACAAUUUAUUUACGCCA